rnacentral:ncRNA from 2 species
GUCAUAAACGAAUGGCUUGGUUUUUCCCGCUCUGCUCGGGGUUGGGAAACGAAGAGGGAAUUUGGAAAGCCGUCUGUUUGACGGUCAAAGCCAAAGCCGCCCCCGCGACUGUAUGCGACGAGUGCCCGCCAUCAUACCACUUGCGAAAGCAGGGAAGGUCGGCGACGCAUGAAGACCCGCAAGCCAGGAGACCUGCCAGGCAUGGACCCGAACC